rnacentral:rRNA from 1 species
CUACGGGCGGCACCAGUGGGGAAUAUUGGACAAUGGGGGAAACCCUGAUCCAGCAAUGCCGCGUGUGUGAAGAAGGCCUGCGGGUUGUAAAGCACUUUCGGUUGGGAGGACUGCUUCUAGCACUAAUAUUGUUGGAAGUUGACGUUACCUUCAGAAGAAGCACCGGCUAACUCCGUGCCAGCAGGCCGCGGUAAUGCGGAGGGUGCAAGCGUUAAUCGGAAUUACUGGGCGUAAAGCGCGCGUAGGCGGCUAGAUCAGUCGGGUGUGAAAGCCCCGGGCUUAACCUGGGAACUGCAUCCGAUACUGUCUAGCUUGAGUACAGGAGAGGAGAGUGGAAUUCCACAUGUAGCGGUGAAAUGCGUAGAUAUGUGGAGGAACACCAAUGGCGAAGGCAGCUCUCUGGCCUGAUACUGACGCUGAGGUGCGAAAGCGUGGGGAGCAAACAGGAUUAGAUACCCGCGUAGUC